GUAUGAUUGUGUGAAUUGCAAGAUGUGCAAUAAAACUAAGUUUGGGGUGGAAAUCUUGAAAGAGAAGGCAAGUGCAUAAUAAGAGAGCAGACAAAAAGAAAAAUAGUAUGUAUGUUCUUUAAAAGAAAAAAAAAGAAAAAAAAAAGAGUGAAAUUAACCCCCAGAGUAUACGUGAUGCACGAGAAAAAGAGAAAGAAAAAUCACACAACAUGACUGCCGAGUUCAAAACCCUUUGUUAUCCAUUUUUUU
rnacentral:lncRNA from 1 species